rnacentral:rRNA from 1 species
AUUGAACGCUGGCGGCAGGCCUAACACAUGCAAGUCGAGCGGAUGAAGGGAGCUUGCUCCUGGAUUCAGCGGCGGACGGGUGAGUAAUGCCUAGGAAUCUGCCUGGUAGUGGGGGAUAACGUCCGGAAACGGGCGCUAAUACCGCAUACGUCCUGAGGGAGAAAGUGGGGGAUCUUCGGACCUCACGCUAUCAGAUGAGCCUAGGUCGGAUUAGCUAGUUGGUGGGGUACAGGCCUACCAAGGCGACGAUCCGUAACUGGUCUGAGAGGAUGAUCAGUCACACUGGAACUGGGACACGGUCCAGACUCCUACGGGAGGCAGCAGUGGGGAAUAUUGGACAAUGGGCGAAAGCCUGAUCCAGCCAUGCCGCGUGUGUGAAGAAGGUCUUCGGAUUGUAAAGCACUUUAAGUUGGGAGGAAGGGCAGUAAGUUAAUACCUUGCUGUUUUGACGUUACCAACAGAAUAAGCACCGGCUAACUUCGUG